AGCGGGAUGGAGCAGUCUGGCAGCUCGUCGGGCUCAUAACCCGAAGGUCCCCGGUUCAAAUCCGGGUCCCGCAA
rnacentral:tRNA from 1 species